UAAACUAUAACAACAAUGAUUCGGUUACACGAAAUUGAUGGAGCUAAUUAAUAUUUAUUUAUAGAUCUUACGAUGUUGCAUAAUUAGAUAAAUUUAAAUUAGGGGUGACAGGCUUUUCAAAAUCAAUGAUAACUUGAUAGCUAAGAGAUGUACUAGUACUAAGACACUCUUGGAGUGACAAGGUUACAAGAGGAUGGCGAAAAAGAGUUUUUAUUCUGUAUCCUAUUUAACCAUAAAUUCAUUUAUUAUUAUAACACUAAUUUUCUAAAAUUGCCUAGAUUAUUAGCUACUCAUAAAAUUAUCUUACCAUUUACAAUGUUUAUAUAAGUAACAAACACAUAUUAGUAAUGAACUCGGCAAUAAGCUUUUCAACUGUUUAUCAAAAACAUAGCUAUAUGAGUUAAAUAUAUAGUGCUUUCUGCUCAAUGAUUUUUUAAAUGGCCGCAGUACCCUGACUGUGCUAAGGUAGCGCAAUCAAUUGACUUUUAAUUGAAGUCCUGUAUGAAAGAAACUAUGGAGAGCUACUCUAUCACUCAUAAUUAAUGAAUUUACUAAAGAAGUGAAAAUUCUUCUGGAUAAUCAAUAGACGAGAAGACCCUAGAAAUUUUGAGGAUGACUUUUUGUUGGGGCAACAGAGUAGUAAUUUAAUCUACUGCUAGUACACGAAAUAAAUAUUUUGACAGAUAAAAUUACUCUAGGGAUAACAGCAUAAUUUACGAAAGUUUGUGACCUCGAUGUUGGAUUAAGGAGUUAACGUUUAGAAG
rnacentral:rRNA from 1 species